rnacentral:misc_RNA from 1 species
CAGAGUUCAUGCCCUCACGGGUAGAUCUCCCACCCUUGAAUAUUAUACCUUAGUUGCCUUGGCAGGCCGGGGCAACCCCCGGGGCUUCGGCCUUGGUGUGCCUGCCGGAGGAAACGAACUCUGUUUUUAGUGAUGUCUGAGUACUAUAUAAUAGUUA